rnacentral:rRNA from 1 species
CAGGCUUAACACAUGCAAGUCGAGGCGUUUCGGGAAGAAAGCUUGCUUUCUUUGCCGGCGACCGGCGCACGGGUGAGUAACACGUAUCCAACCUGCCCUUUACUCGGGGAUAGCCUUUCGAAAGAAAGAUUAAUACCCGAUAGUAUAAUGAUUCCGCAUGGUUUCAUUAUUAAAGGAUUCCGGUAAAGGAUGGGGAUGCGUUCCAUUAGGUUGUUGGUGAGGUAACGGCUCACCAAGCCUUCGAUGGAUAGGGGUUCUGAGAGGAAGGUCCCCCACAUUGGAACUGAGACACGGUCCAAACUCCUACGGGAGGCAGCAGUGAGGAAUAUUGGUCAAUGGGCGCUAGCCUGAACCAGCCAAGUAGCGUGAAGGAUGAAGGCUCUAUGGGUCGUAAACUUCUUUUAUAUAAGAAUAAAGUGCAGUAUGUAUACUGUUUUGUAUGUAUUAUAUGAAUAAGGAUCGGCUAACUCCGUGCCAGCAGCCGCGGUAAUACGGAGGAUCCGAGCGUUAUCCGGAUUUAUUGGGUUUAAAGGGAGCGUAGGUGGACUGGUAAGUCAGUUGUGAAAGUUUGCGGCUCAACCGUAAAAUUGCAGUUGAUACUGUCAGUCUUGAGUACAGUAGAGGUGGGCGGAAUUCGUGGUGUAGCGGUGAAAUGCUUAGAUAUCACGAAGAACUCCGAUUGCGAAGGCAGCUCACUGGACUGCAACUGACACUGAUGCUCGAAAGUGUGGGUAUCAAACAGGAUUAGAUACCCUGGUAGUCCACACAGUAAACGAUGAAUACUCGCUGUUUGCGAUAUACAGUAAGCGGCCAAGCGAAAGCAUUAAGUAUUCCACCUGGGGAGUACGCCGGCAACGGUGAAACUCAAAGGAAUUGACGGGGGCCCGCACAAGCGGAGGAACAUGUGGUUUAAUUCGAUGAUACGCGAGGAACCUUACCCGGGCUUAAAUUGCAGUGGAAUGAUGUGGAAACAUGUCAGUGAGCAAUCACCGCUGUGAAGGUGCUGCAUGGUUGUCGUCAGCUCGUGCCGUGAGGUGUCGGCUUAAGUGCCAUAACGAGCGCAACCCUUAUCUUCAGUUACUAACAGGUCAUGCUGAGGACUCUGGAGAGACUGCCGUCGUAAGAUGUGAGGAAGGUGGGGAUGACGUCAAAUCAGCACGGCCCUUACGUCCGGGGCUACACACGUGUUACAAUGGGGGGUACAGAAGGCAGCUAGCGGGUGACCGUAUGCUAAUCCCAAAAUCCUCUCUCAGUUCGGAUCGAAGUCUGCAACCCGACUUCGUGAAGCUGGAUUCGCUAGUAAUCGCGCAUCAGCCACGGCGCGGUGAAUACGUUCCCGGGCCUUGUACACACCGCCCGUCAAGCCAUGGGAGCCGGGGGUACAAGAAGUACGUAACCGCAAGGAUCGUCCUAGGGUAAAACUGG